AUGUCACCCCCAGACCAUGGGACCAGCAGGUGGAGGAGGACCCCCCGGGCCGAGCAAGGGGAUAAGAGAGGCCUGGGGGCAACCCAGCCCAGCCUGGGCCUUGGGGAGCAGACUCGGGGGGCCUCCACCGUGGCCUGGACCCCCCUCCUCCUCGGCCUCCGGGCUCACUGCACAGGCGCUGUGUCCUCCUAUGAACUGACUCAGUCGCCCUCAGUGUCAGUGUCCCUGGGACAGACGGCCAGGAUCACGUGUUGGGGGGAACAACAUUGGAAGUAAAUAUGUUCAACGGUGCCAGCAGAAGCUGGGCCAGGCCCCUGUGCUGGUCAUCCAUGAUGAUAGCAACCGGCCCUCGGGGAUCCCUGACCAGAUAUCUGGCUCCAAAUUGGGGUACACGGCCACCCUGACCAUCAGCGGAGUCCGGGCUAAGGACGAGGCUGACUAUUACUAUCAGUCAUAUGACCGCAGUUAUAAUCCUCAUGGUGACACAGGCAGAUGGGGAAGAGAGGCCACGCUCUCUGAGCCGGCGGAGCUCUGUGGGGAUCCGUCUCCUCCUGGUGGAACCCGCUGCAGGAGUCCUGGGGCUGGGUCCCCUGCUCUCCUGGACGAGGCACCCCACGUCCUGCAGGGCUGCCUGCGACCUGGAGAGGCCUGA